AUCACCGUCGACGAACCGCCGCGCGUCGCGAGUGGCAAGGUUUCGUGCAACACUGGCCAACCCCAACCGUUGCGCGCACACGUCGUCGUUGCCUCACCUGGCGACUGCGCAUCGAACCCGUCGUCGCUCGUUGGCUAGCAGGAGAGACCCUCUUGCUCGUUCCCGUGCUUCAUUUCCCGCACGGUGAACUCACGCGCACGUACGCGCAACAAGGACGCGCAGCCCGGUGUUCGCUCGGCCGAAUGCACGCGACAAGGACCGAACGAGGCACGUUAAAAAAACGCGGAAAUUACCAGCUAACGACGAUAACGCGACGCACGGUACCUUUCGCGAUUCGAGAAACUUCUUCCAUCGAAUAUACCUGGAAAUAUACGUGGACGGCGUUUACGAGGAUUCCAGGUGCAGGUAGUUUUAGGAACGGACGAACGAGCGUCGUUGCACGUUGCCAGCAGCGAAAACGCAACGUAGCCAGGUUAAAAGAGGCAGAGAAGGGAAAGGCAGGUCAAAGCAGCGACGCACUGGCCAGGUGCGCAGACAUUCCACUCGCUUUGCGGUACGCUCGCCCCGCUUCCCCCGACCGCGAUUAUUUUCCACCUGGAGCGCCACGUUUUACUUUUUCAUGGCGGACCAUGGCGAGCGAUAGGAACGCAUACGGAUGCCCGAUUGGAGGAGGUGCGACAAGGGGAAGGUGGAAGGUGGUGAUCGCGAGGAAAGAAAAAUGGCGGCGAACCGAGGCGCGCUUCUUCCGAGUUAUAAAGAGGCUCUAUAACUGAUCGCAGAGUUUACGUUAAAUCGACCUAGGAAGGUGAAGGAAAGAGAGCGAAGGAGAGCCAACGAACAACAGGUUGGCGCGUCGAACGCGUGCGGUGGGAAGACGGGAGAACGAGAAGAGCUACGUGGAGACGGAGAAGCGGAAAACGGGAAAGCGAUCGUCGUUGGAUUUGGUAGGAAUAUCCGUAGAAGCGAAACGCUUAGCGCUAUGUAAGAGCGACGACGUCGUGACAGGGAGACCGGAUUGGUCGGUCACCUGUUGCCUGCCUGCUGUGAUUGGUCGGGCUCGACAGCGCGUAACGACGGCCAGAGGAGGACAAGUGCACCGUCGGCUGGUCUAUGAUGGACCAACAUCGAAAAUGGACAAAGUCGUAUACGUGUAAACCUUUGUCCUUGCUCGCGAACAAAUCAACUACGUUGUUAUUACCACACACCUUUUUGCUAUUCGCCAUUCACGUAAAUUCGUUCUUACGUUCGAUACGUACGUUUUACGUGCUCGUAUAUCGCAGCGGACAUUAUUGCUUUGACGUUUAUUUACGAGCUUAGUCUUUCGCUGCAUUCUACCAUAUAAAUAUUUAUCGGCGUUACCUUCGAAUUAUUUACGUUUCUCGAAUAAAGGUAAAGUUUAAGUACCUAUGCGGUAGUACGACAGAUAAAGAAAAGAUAUAUGUACAUACAUAUACGUACGUAUAUCUAAUGCGACAGCGGGUCUAAUAUUUGCGAUACGACUAUCGUGAAACACAAAAUUACAAAUCGACGUUGCGCAUACGACGGCACGUAUGGGACGGAACAGCAGGGACGAAAUCCUUGUACACGCGGCGGAACAGGUGUACAAAGUUCGCGCGAACAGGCGAUGGGAAUCGCGCGAGACCAAAGUCUACGCUCGAGGAGCAAAGUCUGCGCGGACGAUGGAAGGAAAGCCGGUUCGCGAUAUCGGACUCUGAACUUUUCGCGUUACAUUCGUUACAUUACUUCCACGUUGGCGAGUGUUACGCUGUUCGAGAAUAGACGCGAAUAUUAAACGUCCCGCGUAUAUUCCUAAUACGUAGCGUUCUCCGACGAUUCUCUUUGAUACCCGAAAGAGGCGAGGAUCGAGCGAAUGAACGUUCGCGAAGAUCUCUACGAGCCUCGUUAUUCUCUUAGUCGAUGAAUUAGACACGACAAAAGGCGGUUGAUUCGUUUAUCGAGCCUUCGACGAUCGCUCGUAAACGAGGCAGAAGCGCGAGAGGGCGAUACGAAAAAGAAAAGUUGCUCGAGUUAGGGACACCUGCCGAACAACACCUGCUGCUUCCUAAAGCGCGUUUCAGUCUUCUCCGGGCAAAAUUACGAUUAUUCGUUACGAUAACGUUGCGAUGCGAAAGUUAGCUCGAAAGAGAAAACCUGUAUUAAAAGAACAAAUUCUGCUUACAAAUCAAUAUAAUUAUAAAUAUAUUACGACAGGGUCACCGUAUAGCUUAACCUAGUGACGUUCGCCAGCGUGAAAUUAAUCUACCGCUCCGAUGCGUAUCGUAUCUCGUUUCACUAAUAACUUUGAUAUUUUGCUAUUUCGUCGAAUUGACAGGCCAAU